UACACAGUGGCUUAGUGGUUAGCACAUUUGACUUACACCUCCAGAAUUGGGGGUUCAAAUCUCACCUCCACCCUGUGUAC